CUAUAAUUAAAAAUGGAACUCCUGCAUCCAGAGGAGUGUGUGGCAGCUCAAGCUGAAGAAUGAAUACCACAUUAAAACCUGACUGCAGGAGAUGAUCAGAAUAAAGCAGGAGACAGAAGGCUUUCCUGAAGGUCUGCUAGAUGAGCUCUAAAGGUCAUUUCCACACACGUUUCUGCUGAACGCCUCCCGCACAUUUCUCCGAGAAGCGAAAGUGAAACAGCAGAGGCUUUAAACCCUCCAGUGUGUCUGUGCUCGUCCUGAAGCCUCUGCGAACACCAGGAGCUCGGAUAAACCGCUUUGAUUCCGUUAAUAAGACGCCACGGUGGAUUCUCCGACAUUUCUCAAAACAUCUUCUUGAGGACACGAGGACGAGUAAAUGAUGAUUUUUGUGUGAACUAUCCCUUCAACAGCUACAAGUCAUAAACAUCACUUCAACACACAAAUGAGAUUUGAGCAAGAUUUAAUGCAGGAGGCUGUGGGAAAUCUGCUGACCUGAGAAGACCGGCUCAGAAAUGAUCUCUCAAGCUAUGACUUUCAUCAGCUGAUACUAAUGAAAGCACUUCAUUACAGGACAUUGUUUUAAAAGGAUGUUUUCUUGAAUCUGGCUCUGUGGUGGUUUCGUUUUUCAUCACUUGUCACUUGUUUAAUGUGUUUUCUUUAUUGCAUUUACUUGAUGCUUUUCUCUAAAGUGACUUAUUGAUCCAUAUGACGGGAUUCGGCUGUAAUGUUCUUUAUUCUCUUGCCUGAACAAAAAAAUAAAUAAACUGUUUUCCUCACUGAAUCAUACCUGGAAUUUUCUGAAUUUCACUAUGACAGAAAUGCAGCGAUUAACUUUCUGAAUGUUUUUCAUGUUUUGCUGCUCCACAUCGGGUUGAAAUGAAUGAAGCAGAAUCUGGGUAUCAGUUCCAAACUCGUACGAUUGUCUUUCUUCUGUGGAACAAGGAAGAUUUGUUAGAGAAUCAAUGCAAUAAUAGUCAGUGGGGUCUAAAGUUUCAAGCACCAAAAAAACAUAAAUGUGGUGUAAAAGUCAUCAUACAACUCCAGCAGACUCUUCUGAAGCCAUACGAUCACUUUACACAACUAUCGGAGGGACCUCAAAUCAGCUCAUGUUUACAGACCUUUCUGAAAAUCAAGUAUGCUUUAAAAAGAGCACUUAAGUAAUAUACUUCAGAACAAUAUAUGGUCACACUUUAGUUUAGGGGACCAGUUCUUACUACUUUUGCCUCAAUAAACUCCUUAUUUGCUGCUUAUUAAUAGUUAGUAAGGUAGUUUAGGUAUUGGGUCAAAAUAAGGCAUCUAAAAUAUGCUUGUGCAUCAAAAUGUGUUAUAUUAGUGCUAAUAAACAGCCAAUAUGCUAGUAAUAUGCAUGCUAGUUAAUAGUGAGAACUGGCCCUUAAACUAAAGUGUUAAUUUAUAUACUUAAAGGGGACAUCAGAUGCAAAAUUCACUUUUACAUGAAUAUAAUGUGUGUUGGCAGUGUGUGGACACAAUUACCCUACAAUGAUAAAAAACACUCUUUUUUUUUUAAUCCCCAAAAAUCCUAUACAGUCUCAGUGACCAAGCUUUGAUUUUCUGAGCAGUAUGACGUCAUAUUGCUCAAGCCCCGCCCACAGCCGCUGACGGUGUUCUGAAAUAUUUGGUGUCUGAGAUUUUCUGUGAAACUGGGCGAAGCUUACAUGAAUAUUCAUGAGUUUCCUCUUAAAGUGCAGUUAAAACAUUAGUGCUCCUCGGAUCAAAAAAAAAAAAAAAAACCUGUUUCCGGUAACAUCAUUUCUUUUCAGCGUUGAUCUGAUUUUUUAUAUAUAUUUUUAUAUAUGUAUUAUUAUGCACAGCCAUUUACAGUCAUGGCCAAAAAUAUCUUGGUAAAUAUGAUCAAAGGCGGCUGUGAAAAUUAAUCUGCAUUGUUAAUCCUUUUGAUCUUUUAUUUUAAAAAAUCACAAAAAUCUAACCUUUCAUUGGAUAAUAAGAAUUUAAAAUGGGGGGAAAUAUCAUUAUGAAAUUAAUGCUUUUCUCUAAUGUUAAGCAGGCCUCUCCUCUAUCUGUGUUUAAAACCCAUCUUAAAACCCUUCUUUUCUCUUUGGCUUUUGACACCUAGUAAGAUGUCGACUUUAUUUACUUGAUUUAAUUUGUUACUUUGAAUGCUUUUAUUGUGUGGUUAUUAAUUGUACAUAUGUUUAUUUUUUCUGUACAGCACUUUGGUCAACUGUGGUUGUUGUAAAGUGCAUAACAAAUAAAGUUGGUAUGGUAUGGUAAUACACACUGGACACAAUUAACGGCACCCUUUUAUUCAAUACUUUCUGAAACCUCCUUUUGCCAGUUUAACAGCUCUACAUGUUCUCCUAUAAUGCCUGAUGAGGUUAGAGAACACCUGACAAGAGAUCAGAGCUCAUUUCUUAGUUUAAUCUCACCAUAGAAGCCAGUCCCAUUUAAAGUUUGAGUCGUGUCUGAUAACUGAAUAUGCUUUAGUUUGUUUUUGGAUGAGCUAGGAGAAUUUUUCUUGUAACCCUCCUAAACAACAUGUGAUGAUGUUCUGUUUGGUUGGAAAUUCUUAAUUAUUGUCCUGAUGGUGGAAAUGGGAAUUUUCACUGCUCUAGCUCUUUUCUUAAAGCCACUUCACCAAUUUGUGAAGCUCAAUUAUCUUUUGCUGCACAUCAGAAAUAUAUUCUUUGGUUUUUCUCAUUGUGAUGGAUGAUUCAGGGAAUUUGGGCUUUGUUUUCCCUCAUAUUUAUAUUUCUGUGAAACAGGAAGCCUUGGCUCGAUAAUUUCAUGUUCAUAAUCACCCUGGAGUGCCCAAAAUUGUGAAUAUGAAUGGGAAUAUACUUCUGAGAUAUAUUACUCAUAAGAAUUUCUAGGGGUGCCAAUAAUUGUGCCCAAUGUGUAUUAGAGAAAAACUUUCAUUUCAUAAUGAUAUUUCCCCCCAUUUUAAAUUCUUAUUAUCCA
ensembl:lncRNA